GGAAGUAAAAGUCUAACAAGGUUUCCGUAGGUGAACCUGCGGAAGGAUCACUACAGUAGUCACCCAGGUUGCCGCAAGGCCUCCUGGGUAACCUACCACCCUUUGUUUAUUACACUUUGUUGCUUUGGCAAGCCUGCCCUCGGGCUGCUGGCUCCGGCCGGCGAGCGCUUGCCAGAGGACCUAAACUCUGUUUGUCUAUACUGUCUGAGUACUAUAUAAUAGUUAAAACUUUCAACAACGGAUCUCUUGGUUCUG
rnacentral:misc_RNA from 1 species